rnacentral:rRNA from 1 species
AUUGAACGCUGGCGGCAGGCCUAACACAUGCAAGUCGAACGGUAGCACAGAGAGCUUGCUCUCGGGUGACGAGUGGCGGACGGGUGAGUAACGUCUGGGAAACUGCCCGAUGGAGGGGGAUAACUACUGGAAACGGUAGCUAAUACCGCAUAACGUCGCAAGACCAAAGUGGGGGACCUUCGGGCCUCACACCAUCGGAUGUGCCCAGAUGGGAUUAGCUAGUAGAUGGGGUAAUGGCUCACCUAGGCGACGAUCCCUAGCUGGUCUGGGAGGAUGACCAGCCCAACUGGAACUGAGACACGGUCCAGACUCCUACGGGAGGCAGCAGUGGGGAAUAUUGCACAAUGGGCGCAAGCCUGAUGCAGCCAUGCCGCGUGUAUGAAGAAGGCCUGCGGGUUGUAAAGUACUUUCAGCGGGGAGGAAGGCGGUGAAGUUAAUAGCUUCACCGAUUGACGUUACCCGCAGAAGAAGCACCGGCUAACUCCGUGCCAGCCGCCGCGGUAA